UUGUACAUCUAUUUUAUUCUAGAUAUGACGUAAUUUCUCUCUCUAGAAAUUGCGUCAUAGAGAGAGAUUGCGUCAUUUACGCGGAUGCGGGUGGGAGCUUAAGCUCGUGGUGGCUGUGAGGCGUGAUUGGUUGUGGUGUGUCAUGUGGUAUGACUGGCCAACAAGACGGUUACGGGACUGAAAGAUCUAGAGAUGCAGGCUGAGCGUUUGGACUGAAAGAGAGAAAGAACUGGACGACAAGCUGGGCUUUACGUUAUACCUCUAGGGAGAGACAGUGAUCUUGAAAUCUCAAGUCUUCCUUUGCAAUUGUCCUUCGCCAAACUACUGAGAGAAAAGGACAUCAACCUAGAAGGUGAUAUAGCCACUCGGUCGUACCUGUGCGUUGGAAAGAACAACUUCGUCCGACCUGACGACCAAGUAACGGACAAGUGUUCCGGCCACUGGUAUCGGUGUUGCGUCCAUACCAAGAUCGUCGGCCUGCUAGCGACAGUUCGAAGCGAACCUUCCUCGUACUCCUCUCGUCGCGUGCCGAUCUACAGAAGACCGAAGUCUUCGGACAAUAUUUCUUCUGCGGCGCGACGAGAGAUUACCCAUACUGCAUCCGCCAUUGGACAGUACAGUGACAGUUGUGCGUGUGUGUUCUGCAAGAACUAAUCUCCACACCACAAAGUCGAGAACACAGCUAAGUGGCGUGCGCAUAAGGAGUGUACGGGGAGAGUGUGUGAGCAGUAUUGUGUGAGGAAUAUUGUGUGAGGAGUAUUGUGUGAGCAGUAUUGUGUGUAUGACAGAUAAGGUUAGAUCUGGCUCUCAGUUAUCUGGACAUAAUAGAAGCAAGGGAAAUAAUUAGGUAAACGGGACGGUCUAGACAACGAUCAAGGGUUCAUACUUUGUAAUUGUGACAUUUUUUGGUUUGUAUGAACUUCUGGAAAUAAUAAUUAACCUCUUUUAAUGCACUAAAUUGCCUCGUGUUUUACUUUGGGGUAUGCGUGCUUGGGGGCUCGAGCUGGUUAGAGUGGGUAAUUAAUAAGCAAUUUAGUGUGGUAGCACGCGGUAAGUGUCGACGUGGACUUGGUGGGGGUAUAGACGGUGUGUUGGACUGGUGAUAGAAAUCGUACCCCUUACCAAAUCUACGGACCCUGCCCCAGGUUUGCGACAGAUGUGUUUAACUCUGACAACUUAAUUAGCUUUGCAUGCUAGUCAGUCUGACUGCUGGAGACUGCACACACUAAGCUGCCAUCAGUUGUGGGUGGACGGAGGGACGUUACAGCCACACACCUGAGGUGAGGGGCCUUGAACUUGCGACCUGCACCACGGUCCUACCACCAGGCUAAGCAACCGCCCACCCGCUUUCCCAAAGGUCUCAUGAUGAUUUUACAGAAAUAUGUACACAGUAGAUUUAGUUACAGCCAAAGAAAUGUUAUCUUGCCUCAAGAUUGGAAGUUUUAGAUACAAAAAGGGAGAAUAAACGUUCCUUUGAUUUAA